AGUUCGAUCCUGGCUCAGAUUGAACGCUGGCGGGAUGCUUUUACACAUACAAGUCAGACGUAUUACGGACUUCGGUCUGGUGGCGAGUGGCGAACGGGUGAGUAAUGUAUCGGAACGUGCCUAGUAGCGGGGGAUAACUACGCGAAAGCGUAGCUAAUACCGCAUACGCCCUUCGGGGGAAAGCGGGGACCUUCGGGCCU
rnacentral:misc_RNA from 1 species